GCUGACGAGUGGCGGACGGGUGAGUAAUGUCUGGGAAACUGCCUGAUGGAGGGGGAUAACUACUGGAAACGGUGGCUAAUACCGCAUAACGUCGCAAGACCAAAGAGGGGGACCUUCGGGCCUCUUGCCAUCAGAUGUGCCCAGAUGGGAUUAGCUUGUUGGUGAGGUAACGGCUCACCAAGGCGACGAUCCCUAGCUGGUCUGAGAGGAUGACCAGCCACACUGGAACUGAGACACGGUCCAGACUCCUACGGGAGGCAGCAGUGGGGAAUAUUGCACAAUGGGCGCAAGCCUGAUGCAGCCAUGCCGCGUGUAUGAAGAAGGCCUUCGGGUUGUAAAGUACUUUCAGCGGGGAGGAAGGUGUUGUGGUUAAUAACCGCAGCAAUUGACGUUACCCGCAGAAGAAGCACCGGCUAACUCCGUGCCAGCAGCCGCGGUAAUACGGAGGGUGCAAGCGUUAAUCGGAAUUACUGGGCGUAAAGCGCACGCAGGCGGUCUGUCAAGUCGGAUGUGAAAUCCCCGGGCUCAACCUGGGAACUGCAUUCGAAACUGGCAGGCUUGAGUCUUGUAGAGGGGGGUAGAAUUCCAGGUGUAGCGGUGAAAUGCGUAGAGAUCUGGAGGAAUACCGGUGGCGAAGGCGGCCCCCUGGACAAAGACUGACGCUCAGGUGCGAAAGCGUGGGGAGCAAACAGGAUUAGAUACCCUGGUAGUCCACGCCGUAAACGAUGUCUACUUGGAGGUUGUGCCCUUGAGGCGUGGCUUCCGGAGCUAACGCGUUAAGUAGACCGCCUGGGGAGUACGGCCGCAAGGUUAAAACUCAAAUGAAUUGACGGGGGCCCGCACAAGCGGUGGAGCAUGUGGUUUAAUUCGAUGCAACGCGAAGAACCUUACCUGGUCUUGACAUCCACAGAACUUUCCAGAGAUGGAUUGGUGCCUUCGGGAACUGUGAGACAGGUGCUGCAUGGCUGUCGUCAGCUCGUGUUGUGAAAUGUUGGGUUAAGUCCCGCAACGAGCGCAACCCUUAUCCUUUGUUGCCAGCGGUCCGGCCGGGAACUCAAAGGAGACUGCCAGUGAUAAACUGGAGGAAGGUGGGGAUGACGUCAAGUCAUCAUGGCCCUUACGACCAGGGCUACACACGUGCUACAAUGGCGCAUACAAAGAGAAGCGACCUCGCGAGAGCAAGCGGACCUCAUAAAGUGCGUCGUAGUCCGGAUUGGAGUCUGCAACUCGACUCCAUGAAGUCGGAAUCGCUAGUAAUCGUGGAUCAGAAUGCCACGGUGAAUACGUUCCCGGGCCUUGUACACACCGCCCGUCACACCAUGGGAGUGGGUUGCAAAAGAAGUAGGUAGCUUAACCUUCGGGAGGGCGCUUACCACUUUGUGAUUCAUGACUGGGGUGAAGUCGUAACAAGGUAACCGUAGGGGAACCUGC
rnacentral:rRNA from 1 species